rnacentral:tRNA from 2 species
GAAUAUUAUGACAAGGACCGAAGCUUCUAACUUCUUUCCAAGCGGUUAAACUCCGUUUAUAUUCCU